rnacentral:tmRNA from 1 species
GGGGGUGUUCCGGAUUCGACCGGAUGCGCGUAGGGCAUGGUUGCACGCAGGAGAUGACACUUGGCUCCUUAACAAUGUGUCAGGCUUACAAAUGCCAAAAAUAAUGUAAUCGAGUUCCCCGGCGCAAGCCAGGAACUUAUCGCAGCCUAAGUCUGCGUCGUCCAUGUGGGCCCACUCCCGCUAAGCUCACAGGGCGUAAAAAAAGCGGGAAACACUUCGCACAUUUUGCCGGCAUUCCAGAAGUGAAACAGUGAAAACCGGAUCAGUGACAAGGGUGCCCCUGCCCGACUGACACUUAAAUUUAAAACAGGAUGGCUAAGCGUGUAGACGCCGUGUUUGAAACCAUCGGGGACGCGGGUUCGACUCCCGCCACCUCCACCA